rnacentral:misc_RNA from 1 species
GAUGAAGAACGCGGCGAAAUGCGAUACUUGGUGUGAAUUGCAGAAUCCCGUGAACCAUCGAGUCUUUGAACGCAAGUUGCGCCCGAAGCCUCGGCUAAGGGCACGUCUGCCUGGGCGUCACGCAUCGCGUCUCCCCCAAACCGCCAAGGCGGAGGGGAAGGAAGAUGGCUUCCCGUGCCUCACCCGGCGCGGUUGGCCUAAAUUUGGAGCCCGCGGCACUUAGCUCACGCGGCGAUAGGUGGUGAACAAGGCCUUGGCCGUGCAAACAACCCGCUGCGAAGCUCUAUGUCACGUGCGCUCGUCGGACCCUUUGAAGUUGCCUUCGGUGACUUAAAACCUUUGCGACCCCAGGUCAGGCGGGGCUACCCGCUGAAUUUAAGCAUAUCAAUAAGCGGAGGA